rnacentral:tRNA from 1 species
AAUAAAGUGCCUGACAUAAAAGGAUUAUUCUGAUAGGAUAAAAAAUGUAGAUUUCUACCUUUAUUA